CUACGUGCCAGCAGCCGCGGUAAUACGGGGGGUGCGAGCGUUAAUCGGAAUAACUGGGCGUAAAGGGCACGCAGGCGGUGACUUAAGUGAGAUGUGAAAGCCCCGAGCUUAACUUGGGAAUUGCAUUUCAUACUGGGUCGCUAGAGUACUUUAGGGAGGGGUAGAAUUCCACGUGUAGCGGUGAAAUGCGUAGAGAUGUGGAGGAAUACCGAAGGCGAAGGCAGCCCCUUGGGAAUGUACUGACGCUCAUGUGCGAAAGCGUGGGGAGCAAACAGGAUUAGAUACCCUGGUAGUCCACGCUGUAAACGAUGUCGAUUUGGGGGUUGAGCUUUGAGCUUGGCGCCCGUAGCUAACGUGAUAAAUCGACCGCCUGGGGAGUACGGCCGCAAGGUUAAAACUCAAAUGAAUUGACGGGGGCCCGCACAAGCGGUGGAGCAUGUGGUUUAAUUCGAUGCAACGCGAAGAACCUUACCUACUCUUGACAUCCAGA
rnacentral:rRNA from 1 species